ACCCUCAGCUGGCACAGCCCCUUCUCCAUUCCUCGAUCAACAGCGCUGAGAGCAAUGCCUGUAAUGCGCGUCUAGGACAGCAAGAGCGCUUUUACAUGCAAAUACCAGACCCGUUCUCCUUAAAAACAGCCUGGAAUGGCUGUAAGCAAAUAUCUCAACAGGACUUUGUUAUAUUUACGGCUGCAGUGAGUGCUCAUUUUUAAGCUGGUCUCUUUGCCUCUCGGUCUGAUUCUUUAGGUGGAACGGAGGGAUUACACAAGGCCGGCGUCUUUCCCGGGCCCGCCCUGCCGCAAUGGCGGCCCGUCCGCUCGGGAGGAUGCUCGGGAGCUGCCGCCUGCUCCCCCUGCUCCGCUCCCCGCUGCCGAGCGCCGGCUGCGCCCGCGCUGCGCACAGAGGCACAGACCCUGGCCCCCUCACUAAACAAGCUAAAGCAGCUGCUGCUACAGACUGGAAAAAAAAAUUGACUCCGGAGCAAUUCUAUGUUACACGAGAAAAAGGAACUGAACCGCCUUUCAGUGGGAUUUAUCUGAAUAACACAGAAUCAGGAAUAUACUGCUGCGUGUGCUGCAAUGCCCCCCUCUUCAGCUCAGAGAAGAAGUACAAUUCUGGGACUGGAUGGCCAUCUUUUUCUGAGGCUUAUGGUACUUGUGAUGGAGAUGAAAGUAAUACCAAUAUCCUGAGACGACCAGAUAACUCACUGGGGCUAACUAGAACUGAAGUCAUCUGCAAACAGUGUGAUGCCCAUCUAGGCCAUGUGUUUGAUGAUGGACCCAAACCUUCUGGGCAGAGAGAUCCCAGGUCUCACUGACACCUUUUAUUAAUGAAAGUGCCAUACAAACAAAACAGACCAUGAGGCUGACAAAACAAGUAUCCACACAGACCUCUGUGCAAACCACACACAGUUUAGUAGCUUGGAUGGAUAGACAUGGUUGGUGGAGAUCAGGCCUUAGUAAACUGAACAGGAAAAGAAGAGAGAGUAUUGUCUGUGAAAAUACAAGAUUUUUGCCACCCCUAAACACCUCCAGCAUGAGGUGGCUCAGGAGAUGGCCUGCUUGAGAAGAAACUGGAAGUCUCAGCUUGAGUUUUUCUUCUUUUCUGAGCAUUUAGAUAAUACUCCUAAGCAUGUUCGUGUUUUCUGGUUGUAAACCUUGGCCCAAAUGUGUAGAAGAAAUAAGUCCUGUCACCACAUGACUCUACUGCCUCCUCUUUCACUUUAUGAUGUUUUGCACUGGGCAGCGAAGUGUUUUAAACUAUACUCGGGUGCCUGCCCCACCUCCUGCCAUACCCGAGUGAUGAGCUGAUGGUAACACUAUGCUCACAGCAUGUCGUGUACUGCUCAGCACCCGUCACCCUCAUGGAUUUCACAGCUCUUCACACACAAAUGAUGCCUCGCCCCAGCCCUUUGAGGUAGUGGUGAGCCACAGUCACAGAGCUGGAAGCUGAGGGACAGCUGCGGGAAGUGACUCGCCCACAGUCCCCUGGGGCAGGGCAGGGAAAUCUGAUUACAGAAAGGGUUCUCAAAAGCUCUGCAAGUGUGAGCUGCUGCCAAAAUUCACAAAGGCAAAGCAGUUUAAAAGCAAAGCGCUUUAUUGAAGAAGUGCCCAGAUUUUUUCAAGACUAAAAGAAUUUGUCUCAAGGCAGGUGUGUCCAUGGGGACUGGUUUUAGUAGCACUGAGGAAUUUGUGUGGAAGAGAUUGGCAGCUUGCCACAGGGCAGAAGAAAGAGAAAUGCAUGCCCAUUAUUGCACUCCCUUUUACUCUCUUCUCUUUUGUUGUGGUGGGGUUUUUUUGUGUGGUUUUUUUUUUACUGCUCUGUGGUAUCCUUCCUCGCUCCUCCUCCCUGGGCUUUGGCUUUGACUAUUCUCACCCUUACCUUGUGCCCGAACCCUCCUAGCUCCAUACUCAGUUCUCUCUUCUUGGUGCCCGAGAGGGGAGCAAGCACACGGUCCUGCAGCCACCUCCGAGUCAGCAUCUCCCUGCCUGUGCGGGAGGGGACUGCGGGAUCCGGCCGGCAGCUCCGGGGCUGCAUCCCCUGCGGGCUCCGGGGUUUGAUUCCCUGCAGGCUCCGG